rnacentral:lncRNA from 1 species
GGAACAAGAGUCGGUUUCCAUCCUAUCGGCGGCAACUGAAGUCCAAAGGAAAAUAAAAGUGGUGACACAUUUCUCUCACAGCAUUCCCAAGUUAGUCUGCCCGGACGGCCAAGAUGGGUUGCUUAUUAGCACGAAGAACCUUAACCGUGUGGUGAAAAUCAACCUGACGGCAAUGACGAUGACUGUGGAGAGCGGUGUCACGUUGAGACAACUGAUUAAUGAAGCAGCCAAGGCUGGCUUGGCAUUGCCUUAUGCACCGUAUUGGUGGGGACUGACCAUUGGAGGGCUUUUAGGUACAGGCGCUCAUGGGAGCUCGUUGUGGGAGAAAGGGAGUUCGGUUCAUGAUUAUGUAGUGGAGAUGAGAAUUGUAAGCCCUGCAAAAGCUGAAGAUGGAUAUGCUAAGGUGUGGGUGUUAAAUGAAAGUGACAAAGAUCUCAAUGCAGCAAAGUUUUCACUUGGAGUUCUUGGGGUAAUCUCUCAGGUAACUCUCACUGUCUCACAGCUUCCUUUCUCCAUUUGCCAUUGUUCUCUUUGGGAUGAUAUGAUUAUGAGCUGAUUGUUUGAUCAUAUGAUUAAACUAUAUUCUAUCGAUGAAAGCUGGAAAUUCAGGAAUCAAGAAACCAUCCACUAUAGCUCUCACCUAUUGUUCUUGCGCAUAAUGGUAGUGAUGCAGUGUCGGGGGAACCGGUCCCCCUUAGUUUUGUCAAAGGAAUUUUUUAUUUUUUAGUGUUAGAAGGAAUACUUUUGUCUUAUGAAUAAUUGAAUAAAUUUAUUAUUACUUAAAUUCAUAGUUAGCUAUCAACUUGGGGGUGGAUUGAAAAUUUAAAGAGUUUGGAUAAAAAUUAUAAAAUCGAAAAAUAUGUUUGGAACAAGUAUAAUUUGUAUAGAAUUAUACUUUUUUUUAUUUGACAUUAAUUAGUGAAAUUUUUAUUAUAUAAUUUAUUUUUCUACUUAAGUAAAUUUCUUAUUUUUUCUUUAUAUUUUGUGAUCAUCCUAUUAUCAUUAUCGAUAUCUAUUAUAAUAUAUAUAUAGAUAUAUUUAUGUAUAAUUCUUUGAUUAUUUUAUAGGUCACACUCAAACUUCAAUCUCUUUUCAAACGAUCCAUUACUUAUGUAAUGAAAGAUGACACAGAUUUGGGAGAUAAAGUAGUAACUUUUGGUAAACUCCAUGAAUUUGCUGACAUAUUUUGGUAUCCUAGCCAACGAAAGGUAGCCUACAGAAUCGAUGAUCGGGUUCCCGUUAAUGUAUCUGGGAGUGGUGUCUAUUAUUUCACUCCAUUUCGCUCCACUCUUUCAUCUGUUUUGUCUGUUAUCCGAUCUGUGGGUUUGUAUUGACAAUCACUAUUUCUUUUAUUUUCUUCAUUACAAAUUUGUAAGAGAAAAAAAAAAUAGAUGACACUUAAUCCUUAAUCUUUGACAUCAACUCACAACAAUUUUAUUAUUAUACGAUUUUGUUCGCCGCCGUUACCAUUACAAAUGCAUCAACUUCAUCAAAAUAGCAUUUUAGCUUAUUUAUUUAUUUACUUGUAUGAAUUUGUUUAAUGAUUUAGAGGAAACUCAAGAAUCCUUAAGAGAUACUGAAGGGAAGUGCCUGAAUGCAAAGCUAGUGACUUCAACACUUCAAUCGUCUGCUUAUGGCUUAACAGACAACGGUAUACCCCCUAGUCUCUUUCUUUUAAUAAUACCUACUUCGAAUAAUUGAAUCUCUUUGAUUUUAUAAUUUUAUUAUUUAGUCUAAAUAGUUAAAACUGUUAAUUAAUUCGAUUAAAAUACGUACAUAAAUUUUCUAAAAAUAUCUCUUUAAACACAUCAUAUUUAUUGAAGUGGUUAAUGACAGGAAUAAAGCCAAGAUUAGCCAAGAUCUUUUUGCUAAUGAGAACAAGAUAAAAUUAUAAAUUGUGGAGCAAAAUUAAAAAAAGUUAUCAAAUAAAUCUAAAUUGAAUUAUUUACUUUUGAAAGGUAUCAACACAAUUUUUUCUUUCCAACCAAGAGGGACCAAUAACCUUAUCUUCAUGUGCCUCUAUUUAAUGGUGUUACUUAUUUGAAGUAUGUAAUCCCAUUAUAAAAAUAUAUUACCAAAUUAUGUAAAAUUAAAUAUAACAAGAGUUAAAUUAUAAUUUAAGAAAAAUGGAGGGUUCAAAACUAAAAUUUGACCGAAAUAAUCUAUAGCUAAGUAUAUGCUUUUUGCUUCUUUCAUUCAUGAAAUGUAGGUGUCAUUUUUACGGGCUAUCCAGUAAUCGGAUUCCACCAUCGUCUCCAAUCAUCGGGAACUUGUCUAGACAGCCAUAAAGACUCAUUGAUCACCGCAUGCCCUUGGGACCCCAGAAUCAAAGGCGAGUUCUUUCACCAAACCACAUUCAGCAUCGAUUUAUCGGUCGUGAAAAGCUUCAUCCAAGACGUGCAGAAGCUAGUGUCAAUGGAUCCUAAAUCACUAUGUGGGCUAGAACUUUACAAUGGGAUCGUCAUGCGCUACGUUAAAGCUUCCACCGCUUACUUGGGCAAGCAAGAAGACGCCAUAGCUUUCGACAUUACCUACUACAGGAGCAAAGACCCCAUGGCUCCUAGGCUUUACCAAGACGUGUUGGAAGAGAUCGAGCAAAUGGCGUUGUUCAAAUACAAUGCUUUGCCGCAUUGGGGGAAGAACCGUAACCUGGUGUUCGAUGGGGUGAUGAAGAGAUACAAGAAUGGUGGAGAGUUCUUGAAGGUUAAAAAUAAGUAUGAUCCAUGGGGAUUGUUUUCGAGUGAGUGGACUGACCAAGUUCUUGGACUGAGAAAUGGGGUCACCGUAUUGAAAGAAGGGUGCGCUUUGGAAGGAGUGUGUGUUUGUUCCCAAGAUGUUCAUUGUGCUCCAAGGAAAGGCUAUUUGUGUAAACCUGGGAAAAUUUUUCUAGAUGCAAGAGUAUGUGCUCGUGUAAAUACUAAGAAUUAGAGCGAAAUGAUAUAUACACUACUCUUUUGAACCACAUGGUUAAAAUGAUAUGUAAUAACUAUGAACAUAAAAGGAAAGAAUAUAUAAAAGAUAAUUAUGCUUUAAAUCUAAUUAUUAACUCCGGUUAAAAAGAAACUAAACCAAUCAACUAAAAUAUUGAAGAUGAAUGUAUGGUAUUCAGGAUUUUGUUUUAAAUCUAACUGUUAACUCCCGUUAAAAAUCUAGGGGUUUUUUUUGGCUGAAGAGUGAAAAAGUGUUGGCUCUCCAUCGUCCACCACAUGCUACCCCUACUCAUCAGCAUUGGGAUAUUAACGAGUCAAUUUAGGGUUCAAAGCUGCAUGCAUCCACAACAACGAAACCCCAUGAUUUUAAUUUCAUGGAAUAAUCUUAAGUCCCCAGCUAUGAGGUUGGAGUUCAACCAUGUGCAGACAUAAUGAAUUUGUUUUACAACCAAAAUAAUUUACUUGUAAUCCCACGAUUUCACAUGUGAAUUACUUGACAAAACACGCAAUUUAGAAAAUGAAAGGCAACAAAUUCAGAAAUGCAAUUCCUUCAAAAAAAAAAAAAACCAAUUGAUGACAUCAGGGAUUUAAAUAGCGGUCCGAUACCGGUAUAGCGGCCGCUAUAUAGUGGUAGCGGUGGAUCGCGAUCGCAAUUUAACAGGUAACGGCCAAUUACAGCAAUAAUGGGCUGCUAUUCCCGUUAUUUUACAAUAGGUGUCUAAAAAAGGGCAUGUGACAGACGCAGGAAAAGAAGAUGGUGGCUGGACGACGACUGAAAUUUUGAUGAAACAUUGGCAUUUGAGGGCUUGAACGUCGAAGAACAAUGGUGUUUACAAGAUGAUUUCUGUUUCCUUAAGUUUGAGUCACUGGAUGGAUGUGUAAGUUUUGGGGAGAAGAAGAGACUGAGGUAGUCGAAAGGUCUGCUGAAAACUUGAAAAUGAAGAAGAGAUAAGCACAGAGGGGUUUUUCCAAGAACCUGUUGCUUUUCGGGAGCUUAGCCUUUAGAUUUUUUUUGGCUGAAAUUAGGAAGUUUGUAGAGCACCCUCUAUUACUUAGCUGGAUAUAAGUUUGUUUUUCGGCCUUUUAUGAUUGUUUUAUUUUGGGCUUUAUUUGACUUUUUCUAUUAAAAAAAUAGUAAAAUAAAAUAUCAAUAUUUUCAUUUAAGUAUUUUAACAUAAAAAAUAUAUAAAAAUAUUUUUUUAUUACUGUAUCCUAUUGUAUUCGUGUCCAUAUCGAGUCGUAUUCAUAUUGCGUAUCCGUGUCCAUACUUUAUAGCUAAAAAUAAUUAAAAGUGACUUUUUAAAAUUAUAAUUAUAAUUAUUAUGCUUUAAAAUAAGUUGUGCGAAUUUUAAAAAAUUUCACGACCGCGAUACCCGCAGUGACCGCAAUAGCAUCUAUUAUGUCCACAACCGCGAUAAACGCAACACGACCGAAAACGCGGCCGCAACCGCAAUUUAAAUCCCUGAAUCACACCUUACCAUUAACUAAAACAAAAAUAUAGUAAAUAAUUAAUAAAUAAAUACUAUUAAAUAAUGAAGACAUACUUGUCAGAAGCAACUUUCUAUGAUACACAACUAUAUAUAAAGGUGUGUAUUCGAAAAUGAAUGGAUCAAUCAAUUGUAUAGCCAACAAGUUUCCAUCAACCAUGCCAAUUAUACCAGUGUUGUAUUCAAACAAGUUCAAUGAGCUUGUCCUGUUGAAAUGCCUCUUUCUAUUAGUUGUUUUGGUGGGUUGCAGUCCUCCAAGGGAGCCUGUCAAAUGUUCCAUGAAAGAUUCAAACUGCACCGUCACGAACUCUUACGACGCAUUCCUCGAACGAACCAUUUGCCAAGCAGGGAACGUGGUUUACUCGAUAUCGGAACAAAAGUUGGUUUCCAUCCUAUCGGUGGCAACUGAAGUCCAAAGGAAAAUGAAAGUGGUGACACAUUUCUCUCACAGCAUUCCCAAGUUAGUCUGCCCGGACGGCCAAGAUGGGUUGCUUAUUAGCACGAAGAACCUUAACCGUGUGGUGAAAAUCAACCUGGCGGUAAUGAUGAUGACUGUGGAGAGCGGUGUCACGUUGAGACUGUUGGUGUUUGACACACUUUAUCCGGAUGAAAUAUGAACUUCAGUCUGGAUCUUAAACAACAGCGUAAUAUAUCUGGAUGACGAAUGAAGCAAAAAAAGCUAAGUAUUGAGCAACAAGGCUCUAAGCUUGUGGAAGAAACAAACAAAUUUUGUAAGGGAAAACAAUAACAGAAAUCAAAUCAAAGAAAAAAAUGGAGCAUAAAUUGAAUGAAAUUCAAUAUUUUUCUUUAAAAUGAACUUUGGCAUAAAGCCAUUACAUAUACCAGAUAUUGGCUGGUCAAAAUCAACAAAUUCAUCACCUAAACAUUACCUAACUCCACUUAAUUCAUUAGAACUAGAUAAAUUUGACUUGCACACUAAAGCAAAGCUGGUAAUCAGCUCUUCAUCAUCAAGUUACAUCAAUUUUCAUCCAAACAUAGUUCAAAAUGAACUAGAUUACAAAACAUUGUUAAAAAGAAACAAAAUGAAAACUGAGAUGAAACAGUAGCAUUAGUAUCCUUAGUUGCAUGUAUUUCAUCCGAAAGACUUAUGUGCAUGAAUUCUUCUUUGGAUGCAUGAGCUGCAUGGAGGGCCAUUCUCUAACACUCCUCCUUGGUCUCCAUGCUGCUAACUCCUAACUGCUUCCUCAAUUUGAUGAACCUUGACACACCAAGAGCCUUUGUGAAGAUAUCAGCAACUUGUUCUUCUGAAUUGUAAUGAAUCAGCUACCUCUCGAGCUUGUUCCAUUUUCCUUACCACAUAUAGUUUGAUGCUGAAAUGCUUUAUUCUACCGUAGAAAAUAGGAUUCUUUACAAUUGCAACAGCAAACAUGUUAUCACAAUAGAUUUCUGUUGCUUCCCUUUGAUGUAGGUUCAAAUCAGCUAGGAUUUUUCUUAGCCAAAUGGCUUGGUUGAUUGCUCCAGCAGCUGCCACAUACUCAGCUUCAGCUGUGGAUCGAGCCACUAUCGAUUACUUCUUUGAACUCCAGCAAAACAUUGCUGAACCAAGUGUAAAUGCAUAACCUGAAGUGCUUUUCAUGUCAUCCUUUGAACCAACCCAGUUACCGUCAGUGUAGCCUAUCAACUUCAGGUCUUCACUUCUGUUAAAUUGUAAUCCAUAGCUCAAGGUGCCUUUGAUGUACCUGAGCACUCUCUUUGUUGCUCGAAGAUGCUACUUGUUGCAGCAAUGCAUGAACCUUGAUAGCAUACUCACAGCAAACAUGAUAUCUGGUCUGGUUGCUGUCAAAUACAACAAGCAACCAACUAAACUCCUAUAGCUUCAUUCCAACAGCUAUAGGUGUACUUGUUGGCUUGUAAUUCUUCAUAAAGAAUUUGCUUAGAAUUUUUGCUACAAAUGUCUUCUGUCCCAAGAAGAUUCCACUGUGAGUUUCUUGCGCCUCCAUUCCCAAAAAGUAAGUCAUCUGCCCCAAAUCUGACAUUUCAACAUGUCUUUCAUUUUGGCCUUGAAAUCAGCCAGUAUAUUCUGGUCUCCUCCUGUCACUAAGAGGUCAUCAACAUAAAGGGACACAAUGAGUUGUGUUUCAGCUUGUUCCUCUUUGACAUAGAGUGUUGUCUCACUCAUGCUUCUCUCGAAUCCCAGGCUUAACAAAUAGCUGUCAAUCCUAGCAUACCAAGUUCUAGGAGCUUGUUUCAGGCCAUACAAGGCCUUUUUGAGCCUAUACACCAUGUGUUCUUUGCCAAACACAAUAAAACCUUGGGGCUGGUCAAUGUAGAUUUCUACUUCAAGAAAGCCAUUGAGAAAUUCGGACUUUACAUCAAGCUAGUGAAUCUUCCACUGCAUCUGUACUACAAGGGCAACCAGUAGCCUGAUGGUGUCUAGCCUAGCCACUGGUGAAAAUGUUUCCCAAUAGUCCAGGCCAUAUUUCUGGCUGAAUCCUUUGACAACAAGCCUGGCCUUCAGUUUAUUCAAGCUCCCAUCAGCAUUUUGCUUGGCUCGAUAGACCCAUUUCACCCCAAUGAUCUUCUUAUUGCCUGAUCUUUCAACCAAUUCCAAUGUCUGGUUCUUUUCAAUCAUGGCAAUCUCAUCAACCAUUGCUUGUUUCCAACCUUCAUGUGCUUCAGCAUCUUCAAAGCAGCUUGGUUCAGCUAUUGCUACUUGAGCCCUUUCAUAAAUUUCAGCCAAGGGUCUGGUCCCUCUAACUGGCACAUCAUCUAUGUCCAUUUCAGGACCAUUUUGUUCAGUUUCAGUCUGAUCAACCAUAAGAUCCUCAGAAACUGCCUCUGGCUCAUUCUUGUCUUAAUUCCAGCUUGUUUUCUCAUUGAAUACCACAUUUCUGCUUACAAGGACCUUAUUUGUUGAAGGGUCCAAGAUCCUAUAGCCCUUUUUGACGUGUUAUAGCCUACCAGAAUGCCUGUUUGAGCCUUUUUAUCUAGCUUGCCUCUUUUUACAGCUGGUACCUGUGCAUAACACAUGCAACCAAAGACUCUCAAGUGAGCCAGUGAUGGCUUGAACCCGAACCAGGCUUCAAAUAGAGUCUUAUGGUCCAAUGCCUUGGUUGGAAGCCUGUUCUGAAUAUAAACAGCAGUGUUAACUGCUUUAGCCCACAUGGUCUUGGGCAAAUUCUUUUGAAAUAGGAGACAUCUAGCCAUAUCCAUCAGACUUUUAUUUUUCCUUUCACUCACCCCAUUCUGCUGAGGUGUAUAAACACUGAUGAGCUGAUGUUUGACACCAGCAUCAUUGCAAAUAGCUUGGAACUGAGCUGAGGUAUACUCAGCUCCAUUAUCUGACCUGAUGGUCUUUAAUUUGUAGCAUGUUUUUGUUUCAGCUGCAGCUUUAAACUUCAAGAAUACUUGAUCUACCUCAGACUUGUGCUUCAAAAAAAAAUCCAACAAUAUCUGGUACUAUCAUCAAUGAAAAGAAUAAAGUAUUUGUUGCCAUUGAGUGACUCAGUUUUCAUAGGGCCACAUACAUCAAUGUGCACCAAUUCCAACUUGUUUGAUGCUCUCCAGGUUGUAUUUGUAGAAAAUGGGAGUCUGGCUUGCUUUCCCAUCUGACAGACUUCACAAACAUCUUCAUUUUGAAUUGACUUGGUGAAGUGUUCAGCCAUCUCAUUGCUGACCAUUUGAGCCAUCGAUCUAAAGUUGGCAUGACCAAGUCUUUGAUGCCAAAGCUUGGAAUCUUCUGUUGAGGCAACACAGGCCGAGUGUGAGUCACCUGACCAGUUGACUUCAAAAUAUUUAUCAGUCAUAGUGACUGUCAUGAGGCUUGAUCCAUUUGGAUCAGCAAUUUGACACUCCUGGCCCUUGAACACAACUGAGUAGCCCUUUUCAAGCAAUUGAGCAAUGCUAAGAAGGUUCCUAUCAAUCUCAAGUACUAGCAAUACGUUUGAGAUGAUUUUGUUGCCUGUGGGAGUGCAUAUCAGCACAUCCCCUUUUCCUUUAGCCUUGAUAAAUUGCCCAUUACCAACUUUCACCUUAGUUUUGUAGCUUCUGUCCAAGAUUUUAAAAAUGGUUGCAUCUGGUGACAUGUGGUUAAUGCAACCACUGUCCAAAAUCUAUCCUUUUGGUUUUUUGCUCUAACCAGCUAAACAUGACACAGCAAAGACCUGCUCUUCAUGGUUACUGUUGUCUUCAGCCAUUCGAGCUUCAACAUCCUUAUGUUGUGCUUGGUUUUGCCCAGGUCUGCAUUUUUUUUUUGCAGACCCUUUCAAUAUGGCCCUUCUUCUUGCAAUGUUGACACAAGGCAUCUGGUCUAAACCAGCAUUUGGCCUCUGGAUGACCAGACCUUUUACAAAAUCUGCAAAGUUAAUCUCCUCUUCUUGCAGCAUCAGGCUUAAGCUUGUUUCUCCAGUUUUUCUUGCCUUUAUAAGCUAAAGUGCUCGAGGCUACUUUGGCCUUAGCUUGGAAAGCACCCUCCUAGUGUCUUCCAUCCUGCUGGCUCUCCUUUGCUCUUGAACAUAGAGGGCAUUAAUGAGCUCAGUUAGGGAGAUGCUUGCAAGAUCUCUCGAAUCCUCCAAGGAUGAGAUUUUUGCCUCAUAUCUUUCAGGCAAUGGUGAGAGCACCUUCUCCAUAAUCCUUACCUCACUGAACUGUUCUUCUAGUAACCUUAUGUUGUUCACAACAACCAUGAUUCUAUCUGAGUACUGCUUCACUGUCUCUUCCUCUUUCAUCUUUAAAUUUUUAAAAUCUCUCCUCAAGUUCAACAAUUGUUGCUGCCUUGUCCUUUCUGUGCCUUGAAACUCCUCCUUAAGCUUGUCCUAGGCUUGUUUUGGAGUCUCACAGGCCAAUAUUCUGGUGAAAAUAACAUCAGACACACAGUUUUGAAUACAGGACAUGGCCUUAUGCCUUUUGGUCCUCUCAUCUGCGUGUUGCCUGAUUUGAGCCACUGUGGGGCUAGCUCUGAGUGGAGCUGGCUCAGCAUCAAUGUUGACAACUUCCCACAGAUCAAAGGUCUGCAGGUAAGUCCUCAUCUUGACAACUCAUAUGUGGAACCCUUUACCAUUAAAGACUGGUGGUGCUGCAGGGAAAAAGCUUGAUGAAGCCAUUCAGUUUACUACAACAGGUCCUCUAAGAUGAAAGCUCUAGAUACCAAUUGUUGGUGUUUGAUACACUUUAUCCGGAUGAAAUAUGAACUCAGUCUAGAUCUUACACAACAGCGUAAUAUAUCCGGAUGAAGAAUGAAGCAAAAAAGCUAAGUCUUGAGCAACAAGGCUCUAAGCUUGUGGAAGAAACAAACAAAUUUUGCUAGGGAAAACAAGAACAGAAAUGAAAGCAAAUAAAAAAUAGAGCAUAAAUUGAAUGAAAUUCAAUAUUUUUCAUUAAAAUAAACUAUGGCAUGAAGCCAAUACAUAUACCAGACAUUGGCUGCUCAAAAUCAACAAAUUCAUCACCUAAACAUUACCUAACUCCACUUAAUUCAUUGAAACUAGAUAAAUUUGACUUGCACACUAAAGCAAAGUUGGUAAUCAGCUCUUUCAUCAUCAAGUUACAUCAAUUGUCAUCCAAACAUAGUUUAAAAUGAACUAGAUUACAAAACAUUGUUAAAAAGAAACAAAAUGAAAAUUAAGAUGAAACAGUAGCAUUAGCAUCCUCAGUUGCAUGUAUUUCAUCCUGAAGACUUAUGUGCAUGAAUUCUUCUUUGGAUGCAUAAGCGGCAUGGAGGGCCAUUCUCUAACAGAGACAACUGAUUAAUGAAGCAGCCAAGGCUGGCUUGGCAUUGCCUUAUGCACCGUAUUGGUAGGGACUGACCAUUGAAGGGCUUUUAGGUACAGGCGCUCAUGGGAGCUAGUUGUGGGAGAAAGGGAGUUCGGUUCAUGAUUAUGUAGUGGAGAUGAGAAUUGUAAGCCCUGCAAAAGUUCAAGAUGGAUAUGCUAAGGUGUGGGUGUUAAAUGAAAGUGACAAAGAU